rnacentral:rRNA from 1 species
UACGUAGGUGGCAAGCGUUAUCCGGAAUUAUUGGGCGUAAAGCGCGCGCAGGCGGUUUCUUAAGUCUGAUGUGAAAGCCCACGGCUCAACCGUGGAGGGUCAUUGGAAACUGGGGAACUUGAGUGCAGAAGAGAAAAGCGGAAUUCCACGUGUAGCGGUGAAAUGCGUAGAGAUGUGGAGGAACACCAGUGGCGAAGGCGGCUUGCUGGGACGGUACUGACGCUGAGACGCGAAAGCGUGGGGAGCAAACAGG